AUCUAUCUUCGGGGCAGGGUGAAAUUCCCGACCGGCGGUAAUAAGCGCGAUGACGCUUUGAGCCCGCGAGCCGUACCUCGCUAAAAGGUAUAGCAGGAUUUGGUGAGAUUCCAAAGCCGACAGUACAGUCUGGAUGGGAGAAGGUGGAG
rnacentral:ncRNA from 2 species